rnacentral:ncRNA from 1 species
UAAAGUUUUGAUCCUAAACUUACCGCUAUUUUAAGUCAAAAUUAUACAUGCAAGCAUCAACAUUCCGGUGAGAAUGCCCAUAAACCACACAAGAAAAAGGAGCAGGUAUCAGGCUCACUAACACUAUAGCCCAAGACACCUUGUAAUACCACACCUCCACAGGCACCCAGCAGUAAUUAACAUUAGGCAAUAAGCGAAAGCUUGACCUAGCUAUGACCCACCAGGCCGGUAAAUUUCGUGCCAGCAACCGCGGUUAUACGAAAGGCCUAAAAUAACCUAAACGGCGUAAAGCGUGACUAGAACCAAUACCAGCUACUUAUUUAGAACCUAAGCCUCGUUGUAAAACACCUAAGCCCACAGAAAACCACCAACUUAAGAAAGCAAGUACCUUUAACUCACUAAAACUAAGAAACAAACUAGGAUUAGAUACCCUACUAUGCUUAAUCAUAAUCACCGAUACCUAUUACACAAACGUAUCCGCCAGAGAACUACAAGUGAAAAACUUAAAACUCAAAGGAUUUGGCGGUACUCCACCCAAACUAGAGGAGCCUGUCCUAUAAUCGAUAUUCCCCGAUCAACCUAACCACUCCUUGCCAACCAGCCUAUAUACCGCCGUCGCCAGCUUAUUCCAUGAGGAUUUAAAAAUAAGCACGAUAGUUAACCACUAAAACGUCAGGUCAAGGCGUAGCUAAUGAAGUGGUAGUGAUGGGCUACACUCUCUACAAAGAAAAAACGAAUGGCACCAUGAAAUGGUGGCCGGAAGGCGGAUUUAGCAGUAAAUUAAGUAAGAAUACUUACUUUAAAAUAAGCCCUGGAGCGCGCACACACCGCCCGUCACCCUCCUCAAAAUAUCAUUUAACCUAAACUAUAAAAUCAUAAAACCAAUAGAUGAGGCAAGUCGUAACAAGGUAAGCGCACUGGAAAGUGUGCUUGGAACA